AGCGAACGCUGGCGGCAGGCUUAACACAUGCAAGUCGAGCGGGCGUAGCAAUACGUCAGCGGCAGACGGGUGAGUAACGCGUGGGAACAUACCUUUUGGUUCGGAACAACACAGGGAAACUUGUGCUAAUACCGGAUAAGCCCUUACGGGGAAAGAUUUAUCGCCGAAAGAUUGGCCCGCGUCUGAUUAGCUAGUUGGUGAGGUAACGGCUCACCAAGGCGACGAUCAGUAGCNGGUCUGAGAGGAUGAUCAGCCACAUUGGGACUGAGACACGGCCCAAACUCCUACGGGAGGCAGCAGUGGGGAAUAUUGGACAAUGGGCGAAAGCCUGAUCCAGCCAUGCCGCGUGAGUGAUGAAGGCCCUAGGGUUGUAAAGCUCUUUUGUGCGGGAAGAUAAUGACGGUACCGCAAGAAUAACGCCCCGGCUAAC
rnacentral:rRNA from 1 species